CGCAGCAUCAGCCUCAAGGAUCUCAUUAAUCACUAGUUAAAGGUAAUUUCAAUUUACUUUACUAUUUUUCCGUUAAACUUCAUAAAGUUAUAAACACGCAUAAAAUAGAAAUAAAAAGAUACAUAAUGAGAUCCUUGAGGCUGAUGCUGU